rnacentral:rRNA from 1 species
AUUGAACGCUGGCGGCAGGCCUAACACAUGCAAGUCGAGCGAGCGGCGGACGGGUGAGUAAUGUCUGGGAAACUGCCUGAUGGAGGGGGAUCACUACUGGAAACGGUAGCUAAUACCGCAUACCAUCAGAUGUGCCCAGAUGGGAUUAGCUAGUAGGUGGGGUAACGGCGCACCUGGGCGACGAUCCCUAGCUGGUCUGAGAGGAUGACCAGACACACUGAAACUGAGACACGGUCCAGACUCCUACGGGAGGCAGCAGUGGGGAGUAUUGCACAAUGGGGGCAAGCCUGAUGCAGCAGUGCCGCGUGUGUGAAGAAGGCCUUCGGGUUGUAAAGCACUUUCAGCGGGGAGGCGUUACCCGCAUAGGAAGCACCGGCUAACUCCGUGCCAGCCGCCGCGGUAAUUC